CUCUCUCUCUCUCUCUCUCUCUCUCUCUCUCUCUCUCUCGAUUUCAUGGAGUUAUAGGUUUUAGGUGGUUGUUUUGGGGUAGACCCUAAGGAGAAGAGGCAACUCGUACGAACAUCUUUGGUUGCUGGGUUAACAUUUUUGGCGAGGGAAGAUGAUGCCGUCACUCCACAACCCGUUGCGCCUCUGCCCAAAACCUAUUCGUUGCCUAUUGAAACGGAAGAUGAAUGGAGGAAACGAAAGGAGUUAUAGUGUCUGAGGAGGAUGGAGGCAAAGAGGAAGAGAUCAGAGUAACAGAGGAAUUUUAGGGCUGGUAGAGAUCGAGCCUCUUUGGAGGGAAGUGUGGAGGAAGAGAAGCGGAUGGAAGACGAUACUGCUCUUAACGCCAUGAACUUUAAAGGGAAGGUCGAGGGCGCUUCUGCUACUGCUUUGGCCAAAGAACAACAGCAAUUUAGGGUUGCAAAUAGAUUGUCUGCAACGGUGGGGCAACAGUUUGGGGUUCCCCAGUUGGGCUGCAUCUCCAAGAGGUGCUGCUCUUCCUCAUGGGUUUGAUGCCACAGCCAACGAGAAAGGUAGUAUCUUAGCUUCAGCUGCUGCUGCUUUGAGAGGGUAUCCAGGGCCGACGUCACAGGGAUCGAUAGGAUCACAGGGAAGUAGUUCUUCUGGGAUUUCAGAGUUCGAGAGCAGACAGGUUCAAGGUAGUUGUGUGCACCUGGUUUUAGAUUCUGGACUUGACUUGCUUUAUCUGAGUUAUAAAUGGAGAGCUGGAAGCUUUGUAUGCAGCAGGCCAAGGUUGUUCCUAAACUGAGGCCUCAGAGAUUAGACUCUUUGUUUGCAAACAUGAAGGAAUAGAGGAUGAAGACAUCAUCUCAUCAGAUGAGAAGGGGUUGAUUUCAGCAACAACAGCAGAAAAGGGAUCGAUUUAACAGUUAUUCCCACUAACUAGACCUAUGUUGAUCAUUGUGCAAGGAGAUGUGAGAUCAUAUGGGUAUUAAAAAUUGUACCCCAGCCAACCAUGUGGUGGAAAGUAGUGGAUUUAUCUCUAGCACCCAAGUCUCUGAUUAUCAGCAGGAAACAGUCCAUUCUUUGUUUUGCUUCCUUCAGUACUUUUCUCUUCAUUAACCUGACUAUCUCCAAUAUGGAAACUUGUAGAUAUUUUCUUUCAAUUUUUUGAUCUGAGAUUUGGAUUAGUUUGUUCUCAUCUUGUUUGUAUUGGGAUGGUUGUUAAAUUCAUUGGUGACCAUUUAACAGCUAAUUUACAUUUUAUAUUUUGUGAUUUCA